rnacentral:tRNA from 1 species
CGCAGGAUAAGUUAAUUUAGACUAUUGGGCUCAUGCCCCACCAGCGGAACACUUCUUCCUCCUGCAA